rnacentral:snoRNA from 1 species
AAACCAUGCAUCAAACAUUUUCUCAAUAGCUCUUUGAAUCGGUCCCAUGCUUCAUAUAAUGUUGCAUCCUUCGAUUGUUUAAAUGAUGUAAUUUCGUUCCUCAACUU